CAGUCGCCACGGUAAUACGUAGGGUGCAAGCGUUAAUCGGAAUUACUGGGCGUAAAGCGUGCGCAGGCGGUUCGCUAAGACAGAUGUGAAAUCCCCGGGCUUAACCUGGGAACUGCAUUUGUGACUGGCGGGCUAGAGUAUGGCAGAGGGGGGUAGAAUUCCACGUGUAGCAGUGAAAUGCGUAGAGAUGCGGAGGAAUACCGAUGGCGAAGGCAGCCCCCUGGGCCAAUACUGACGCUCAUGCACGAAAGCGUGGGGAGCAAACAGGAUUAGAUACCCCUGUAGUCCCUGUCUCUUAUAC
rnacentral:rRNA from 1 species